rnacentral:rRNA from 1 species
CAGAGGGUGCAAGCGUUAAAUCGGAAUUACUGGGCGUAAAGCGCGCGUAGGUGGUUUGUUAAGUUGGAUGUGAAAAGCCCCGGGCUCAACCUGGGACUAGCAUCCAAAAACUAGGCAAGCUAGAGUACGGUAGAGGGUGGUGGAAUUUCCUGUGUAGCGGUGAAAUGCGUAGAUAUAGGAAGGAACACCAGUGGCGAAGGCGACCACCUGGACUGAUACUGACACUGAGGUGCGAAAGCGUGGGGGAGGCAAACAGGAUU